UACGUAGGGUGCAAGCGUUGUCCGGAAUUAUUGGGCGUAAAGAGCGUGUAGGCGGCCCGAUUAGUCCGCUGUGAAAGUCCAGGGCUCAACCCUGGAAUGCCGGUGGAUACUGUCGGGCUAGAGUCCGGAAGGGGCGAGUGGAAUUCCUGGUGUAGCGGUGAAAUGCGCAGAUAUCGGGAGGAACACCCGUAGCGAAGGCGGCACUCUGGGCCAUUCCUGACGCUGAGACGCGAAAGCUAGGGGAGCGAACAGG
rnacentral:rRNA from 1 species